AACGAACGCUGGCGGCAUGCCUAACACAUGCAAGUCGAACGAGACCUUCGGGUCUAGUGGCGCACGGGUGCGUAACGCGUGGGAAUCUGCCCUUAGGUUCGGAAUAACUCAGGGAAACUUGAGCUAAUACCGGAUAAUGACGUAAGUCCAAAGAUUUAUCGCCUAGGGAUGAGCCCGCGUAGGAUUAGCUAGUUGGUGGGGUAAAAGCCUACCAAGGCGACGAUCCUUAGCUGGUCUGAGAGGACGAUCAGCCACACUGGGACUGAGACACGGCCCAGACUCCUACGGGAGGCAGCAGUGGGGAAUAUUGGACAAUGGGCGAAAGCCUGAUCCAGCAAUGCCGCGUGAGUGAUGAAGGCCUUAGGGUUGUAAAGCUCUUUUACCCGGGAUGAUAAUGACAGUACCGGGAGAAUAAG
rnacentral:rRNA from 1 species